rnacentral:tRNA from 1 species
AGUCAGGUAGACUAAGUAAAAUAAGUCUGUAGGUUCAUACCCUUCAUAUGGAAUUUUUUCCCCUGAUUU